UAACCCUUUAAGGAUUCAAUACACAGUAAAUUAAACAAAAAGUACAUAAAAAAAACUUGAAAAUGAUUAAGCUUUUGCACACUGCAGAAAACUCUCUAACCAAGGCAACAAAAUGCGAUACUGAAUUGAAAUCUUCAAUUCAAGAAGUCACUCAUUAUGGUUAUAUGGUGGCUGGCCAUGCAUGAUCAUGAUGUCAAGAGACUAUUUCAAGGAGACCCACAUUGAUCUUUUCAGUCAUACAAAUCCUGACACAUAAAACGUCUGAUGUAAAGCAGACUCAUAUCGUUAUUGAUUAUAUUUACAACUCACCCAAGAGAAACUCUAUUCCUUACAGGACACAAGAGAAAGCCUAUUGAUGGUUAUACAGCGUAACUACGAGUUUGAUCAACUGACCUUGUCAUUCUCAUCCUCUCAUUCUCAUUCUUUGGCAAGUUUCAAUGAGCUUUGCAGGCAACAUCACACACACAUUACGUUUUGAUCUUGUUUGCAUGCAUCACUAAACUAAAUACAUGUACUGCAUUGCAAUGCUAUCAAAGGUGGGCUGUUACUUCAGGAUGCAUUGGUAGCAAGGUGUCCUCUAACAGUGAUAAAACUGCUUGCCAAGUACUGACUUUUGUAGAUACACUAAUGGAGUGCAUCUCCCUAUGACUGUGAAUAAUAUGUCACAAAUAUGCACUGACACUGUAAAAAUAGCUAUACAUCAACAUGUCUUACGUUCAUCUUGAUUAGUUUCAAGAUCUUUUUUUACUUCCAGUAGGUGAGAUGACAAGAAGUGUGACUUCAGAAGUGUGACUUAGGAGAUUCCGAGAAGACGCAGAGAUCAAUGUCACAUAUGUGCUUCCGUGGCCCACAACCAAGGGGUCAAAGUAUGGCUAGUCAGCAUGACCCCAUUAGCCCCUGCUGGUAGAUCUGACACCAUCUGGCUGCAAAUAAACAAGCUCCAUUGAUGA